GGAGGGUGCGAGCGUUGUUCGGAAUUACUGGGCGUAAAGCGCGUGUAGGCGGCCUUCUAAGUCUGGUGUGAAAGCCCGGGGCUCACCCCCGGAAGUGCAUCGGAUACUGGGAGGCUAGAGUACCGGAGAGGAGGGUGGAAUUCCUGGUGUAGCGGUGAAAUGCGUAGAUAUCAGGAGGAACACCUGUGGCGAAGGCGGCCCUCUGGACGGAUACUGACGCUGAGACGCGAAAGCGUGGGGAGCAAACAGGAUUAGAUACCCUGGUAGUCCACGCUGUAAACGAUGGGCACUAGGUGUUCGGGGUAUUGACCCCCCUGGGUGCCGUAGCUAACGCAUUAAGUGCCCCGCCUGGGGAUUACGGCCGCAAGGCUA
rnacentral:rRNA from 1 species